AGCAGCCGCGGUAAUUCCAGCUCCAAUAGCGUAUAUUAAAGUUGUUGCAGUUAAAAAGCUCGUAGUUGAAUUUCGGGAUCAAUGUUUCGGUCAUGCCCUUGGUAUGUACUGAUAUUAUUGGUUUCUCACCUUCUAAAGAACCGUAAUGCCAUUAAUUUGGUGUCACGGGGAAUUAGGACUGUUACCUUGAAAAAAUUAGAGUGUUUAAAGCAGGCUCACGCUUGAAUACAUUAGCAUGGAAUAAUGAAAUAGGACAUCCGAUCCUAUUUUGUUGGUUUCUAGGAUCGAUGUAAUGAUUAAUAGGGAUAGUUGGGGGCAUUAGUAUUCAAUUGUCAGAGGUGAAAUUCUUGGAUUUAUUGAAGACUAACUACUGCGAAAGCAUUUGCCAAGGAUGUUUUCAUUAAUCAAGAACGAAGGUUAGGGGAUCGAAGACGAUCAGAUACCGUCGUAGUCUUAACCAUAAACUAUGCCGACUAGGGAUCGGAUGAUGUUAAUUUUUUAAUGACUCA
rnacentral:rRNA from 1 species